rnacentral:rRNA from 1 species
GAUGAACGCUGACAGAAUGCUUAACACAUGCAAGUCUACUUGAACUUCGGUUUGGGUGGCGGACGGGUGAGUAACGCGUAAAGAACUUGCCUCACAGUUAGGGACAACAUUUGGAAACGAAUGCUAAUACCUGAUAUUAUGAUUUUAGGGCAUCCUAAAAUUAUGAAAGCUAUAUGCGCUGUGAGAGAGCUUUGCGUCCCAUUAGCUAGUUGGAGAGGUAACGGCUCACCAAGGCGAUGAUGGGUAGCCGGCCUGAGAGGGUGAACGGCCACAAGGGGACUGAGACACGGCCCUUACUCCUACGGGAGGCAGCAGUGGAGAAUAUUGGACAAUGGACCAAAAGUCUGAUCCAGCAAUUCUGUGUGCACGAUGACGUUUUUCGGAAUGUAAAGUGCUUUCAGUUGGGAAGAAAAAAAUGACGGUACCAACAGAAGAAGUGACGGCUAAAUACGUG